rnacentral:rRNA from 1 species
AUUGAACGCUGGCGGAAUGCUUUACACAUGCAAGUCGAACGGCAGCACGGACUUCGGUCUGGUGGCGAGUGGCGAACGGGUGAGUAAUGUAUCGGAACGUGCCCAGUCGUGGGGGAUAACGUAGUGAAAAUUACGCUAAUACCGCAUACGAUCUUUGGAUGAAAGCGGGGGAUCGCAAGACCUCGCGCGAUUGGAGCGGCCGAUAUCAGAUUAGGUAGUUGGUGGGGUAAAGGCCCACCAAGCCAACGAUCUGUAGCUGGUCUGAGAGGACGACCAGCCACACUGGAACUGAGACACGGUCCAGACUCCUACGGGAGGCAGCAGUGAGGAAUUUUGGACAAUGGGCGAAAGCCUGAUCCAGCCAUUCCGCGUGCAGGAUGAAGGCCCUCGGGUUGUAAACUGCUUUUGUACAGAACGAAAAGGUUUCUACUAAUACUAGGAGCUCAUGACGGUACUGUAAGAAUAAGCACCGGCUAACUACGUGCCAGCAGCCGCAGUAA